rnacentral:rRNA from 16 species
CGGUGGGAKUGUUGRAUUCCCUGCUCAKGACGAACGCUGGCGGCGUGCUUACACAUGCAGUCGAACGAUGAACCUCCUUCGGGAGGGGAUUAGUGGCGAACGGGUGAGUAACACGUGGGCAAUCUGCCCUGCACUCUGGGACAAGCCCUGGAAACGGGGUCUAAUACCAGGAUACUGACCCGCUUGGGCAUCCAAGCGGUUCGAAAGCUCCGGCGGUGCAGGAUGAGCCCGCGGCCUAUCAGCUUGUUGGUGAGGUAAUGGCUCACCAAGGCGACGACGGGUAGCCGGCCUGAGAGGGCGACCGGCCACACUGGGACUGAGACACGGCCCAGACUCCUACGGGAGGCAGCAGUGGGGAAUAUUGCACAAUGGGCGAAAGCCUGAUGCAGCGACGCCGCGUGAGGGAUGACGGCCUUCGGGUUGUAAACCUCUUUCAGCAGGGAAGAAAGCGAAAGUGACGGUACCUGCAGAAGAAUGCGCCGGCU